ACGUUUGGGUAAUCGCUGCGGCAGCAAUGCCGUAGAGGAAAGUCCAUGCUCGCACGGUGCUGAGAUGCCCGUAGUGUUCGUGCCUAGCCAAAUCAUAAGCUAGGGCAGUCUGGUUUUAUUACUGGAUUGACGGCAGAAAAAACACCUAAGUUCUUUGGAAUAUGGUGUCAGUAUCUUGAAAGUGCCACAGUGACGAAGCUUUGAAAGAAAUUUCAAAGGUGGAACGAGGUAAACCCCGCGAGCGAGAAACUCAAAUAAUGGUAGAGGCAUUCUUCCUGAGGAAUUCAACAAUGGAAGAGACAGGCUGACUUUUCAACCUGUAGAUAGAUGAUUACCGCCGGAGUACGAGAUUAUCCUAUAUCGCUUGAAGUACAAUGGAACAGAACAUGGCUUAUAAAA
rnacentral:RNase_P_RNA from 1 species